AUUAAUAAGACUGGGGCUUUUCAUCUUGGAAAAUAAAUGGCUAAGGGAAGAUAUGAUUGAGGUCUAUAAAAUGAUGACUGGUGUAGAGAAAGUAAAUAAGGAAGUGUUAUUUACUCCUUCUCAUAAUGCAAGACCUAGGGGUCGCCAAAUCAAAUUAAUGGGCAACAGAUUUAAAACAAACAAAAGGAAGUAUUGUUUCACAAAACACACAGUCAACCUGUGGAACUCCUUGCCAGAGGAUGUUGUGAAGGCCAAGACUAUAACAGGAUUCAA